UCGCAGGAUACAAAAAUUACCUUUCGACGCUCGCCGGGCUAAAAAUGUUCCAAAAAGAAAUUAGUAGCUUCCCGAAAAAACGAACGAUCUGAAUCGGUGAAAAAUAAUCUUGAUUUCCUCUUUUUCUUCUCCCCUCAAUUUCCCGCGGGUCGAUUCAACAACCCCGUCCGAGACACUGGGAGAUAGAUAACUGUAAAGGUAAAAAAAUAGUGUGUAAAAAAUAAAAAAGGAAAAAAGGAAAAAAAAAAGACGAAGAAAUUACAUCGGACCCCUUUGCUCUCUCCGAGCAAACGUGAACAGGUGUCGCGUUUCGGUUUCAGUGAGAGAGGUGCGCUGUGUACACGUCCGUACAUGUAUACUGCAUUGCAGUUCGGGAUGGCUUGGGAAAUCGUUGUCAAUGCGGGCUACACGUUUGCGGGCGCCAAAGCAGCGAAGCGUAAACUAUAUAUCCUUUACCUACUCUAACCCCGCGCACGGCGCACAUGCACGUUAGUGCUGCGGCGUUGAGGUACCCGUAAAAUUCUUCUUUUUUUUUUUUUUUCUCUUUUUUUUUUCUUUUUUUCUUGUUUUUUACCCAUGGGGGAGGGAAAAUAUUCUCGGGCACACGAACGUCGAACGUGCACUUACGUGCGAGGAGCGUAGCUUACGGUAUCGGUUACCUCAUGCGAAAGGUAUUACGUUGCGAAGGAAGCGUCCCCGGUUUACGGAUAACUUCGUUACAAUGGAGACAGAGAAACGUAACGGAUGUUAACAGUUUCCGAAACAGAAGAACCUCGCUUGAGGGCGACGAAACGACCACGGGAAGACCGGAAGUCGACGAUCCUCCUUGCCCCCCCCCCCCUGCGGAUGCCGGCUCUCCACGCUUUCGAUGGAUACAAUCGAGGAUGGUGUAUUUGUUCUACAGUCGCAGAGAUUGGGUUUACUUUACGAACCUCGAGUCGACCUGCAGCAAAGAUUUACGAAAGAGCGUUGAUUGAGGAGUGGUGUACCUAUAUAUAGAGAUAUAAGACUUGAGCGUUGUUUGCAAUGGUGGCGAGAUUGAACGAUUAACCCCUCGUUUACCGAAUAGUCCGGAGAAAGUUUAUUAGACGACCUUUGCCGUUGCGUUCCAAAGAGAGAAAAAAAAAAAGCAGAAAAAAAAAAAAUACAAAAAAAUACGAAAGGAGCGAAAGUAAAAGGGAGAGAAUAAAAGGAGAUGGACGUGGUCUGCAGUCACUCGAUGGGCGUGGUGGUGUCCCUGCAUUAGAUGCGAAGCAGGAGAGUCCCAUUCGAGGGGUAUUAUUUCAUCUACAUCGCAGGAGACUAAUGGCAGCGGAGGAAAUAUAAUAGCAAAGUUUAAAUAAACUUCCUCUUAUAAUGUUGCGGAGUUUUAGGUAUCCGUACUGUUACAAGUGUAC